rnacentral:lncRNA from 1 species
GAAGAUGUAGAGUAAUCAAUGGCCAAAGUUUAUGCAUUAAGAGAAUCAAGGGUGACAGGUCAAUCAGUCAUAUACAUAUUGUACUGAGUUGUUAUUCAAUCUAGCUUUGAGAAGAUAGUGAAUGAUAAAUCUUCAAAAGAAGCAUGACAAAUUCUUGAGAAAGUCUACAAAGACGAUAACCAUGUAAAACAAAUUAAACUUCAAACUCUUAUGUGUGACUUUAAGAGUAUGAGAAUGGAGAAUAGACG